rnacentral:rRNA from 1 species
GUGCCAGCAGUCGCGGUAAUACGUAGGUGGCAAGCGUUGUCCGGAUUUAUUGGGCGUAAAGCGAGCGCAGGCGGUUUCUUAAGUCUGAUGUGAAAGCCCCCGGCUCAACCGGGGAGGGUCAUUGGAAACUGGGAGACUUGAGUGCAGAAGAGGAGAGUGGAAUUCCAUGUGUAGCGGUGAAAUGCGUAGAUAUAUGGAGGAACACCAGUGGCGAAGGCGGCUCUCUGGUCUGUAACUGACGCUGAGGCUCGAAAGCGUGGGGAGCGAACAGGAUUAGAUACCCUGGUAGUCCACGCCGUAAACGAUGAGUGCUAAGUGUUGGAGGGUUUCCGCCCUUCAGUGCUGCAGCAAACGCAUUAAGCACUCCGCCUGGGGAGUACGACCGCAAGGUUGAAACUCAAAGGAAUUGACGGGGGCCCGCACAAGCGGUGGAGCAUGUGGUUUAAUUCGAAGCAACGCGAAGAACCUUACCAGGUCUUGACAUCCUUUGACCACUCUAGAGAUAGAGCUUCCCCUUCGGGGGCAAAGUGACAGGUGGUGCAUGGUUGUCGUCAGCUCGUGUCGUGAGAUGUUGGGUUAAGUCCCGCAACGAGCGCAACCCUUAUUGUUAGUUGCCAUCAUUUAGUUGGGCACUCUAGCGAGACUGCCGGUGACAAACCGGAGGAAGGUGGGGAUGACGUCAAAUCAUCAUGCCCCUUAUGAC